CUUGGUGCCUGAAACCAAAGGAAACUUCAAGAAUCCUUCAGAUCCUCUACAUUCUUUGGCUGGUUCUGGGCAGGUGAUGCAAAUUUGGUUGGUUGUCGCCAAACACAGCUGUCUGCUGCAAAGGAUACGAUAACAACCGUGAGCAUCUGAAUUCUGGCGGGGAUACAUGGAGCAGAGGUCUGGUCUCCUCCCCGAGGAAAGCUGGAGCAUCACGCCUCAUUUCCUGCAUUCAGGACAACAGCCUACAAAACAACAAGGCCAGUCUUACAAGUCUGAAUAAUAGUUUUCUACUUCUCUCAGAUAUUUAGGACGACAUGUUGCUUCCAUCCUGUCCGAAAUCUACACCUUUGGCCCUAAGAGUGAGUCAGAGACCUGGUUUUUUGUUUAUUUUUCUUAAUAACUUUGCUGAUUUUAUCCACUGACACCAUGAAAAUGCAGAUUUUGCAGAGAUUUGAGUGAUAUUUAAGUGAAAA
ensembl:lncRNA